rnacentral:rRNA from 1 species
GACGAACGCUGGCGGCGUGCCUAAUACAUGCAAGUCGAACGCAGUGGGGACGGGUGAGUAACACGUGGGUAACCUCCCAUCAGAGGGGAUAACACUUGGAAACAGGUGCUAAACCGAUACUGAUGGAUGGACUCGCUGUGCAUGAGGUAGAUGGUGAGGUAACGGCUCACCAAGGCCACGAUGCAUAGCCGGCCUGAGAGGAUGAUCGGCCACACUGGGACUGCGACACGGCCCAGACUCCUACGGGAGGCAGCAGUGGGGAAUAUUGGGCAAUGGACGAAAGCCUGAUCGAGCAACGCCGCGUGAGUGAAGAAGGUUUUCGGAUCGUAAAACUCUGUUGUUAGAGAAGCGGUAUCUAACCAGAAAGCACCGGCUAACUACGUGCCAGCAGCCGCGGUAAUUC